rnacentral:rRNA from 1 species
UGCUAAUACCGAAUGUUGUGGUGAAUCCGCAUGGAUUUACUACUAAAGAUGACCUCUAUUUAUAAGUUAUCGCUCAACGAUGGGCCUGCGUCUGAUUAGCUAGUUGGUGGGGCAACGGCCUACCAAGGCGACGAUCAGUAGCCGGUCUGAGAGGAUGAACGGCCACAUUGGAACUGAGACACGGUCCAGACUCCUACGGGAGGCAGCAGUGGGGAAUCUUCCGCAAUGGGCGAAAGCUGACGGAGCAACGCCGCGUGAGUGAAGAAGGCCUUCGGGUCGUAAAGCUCUGUUGAAGGGGACGAAUGUCAAGACUAUCAGCAACGGUUUUGAAUGACGGUACCUUUCGAGGAAGCCACGGCUAACUACGUGCCAGCAGCCGCGGUAAUACGUAGGUGGCGAGCGUUGUCCGGAAUUAUUGGGCGUAAAGGGAGCGCAGGCGGGAAGGUAAGUCUAUCCUAAAAGUUCGGGGCUCAACUCCGUGAGGGGAUGGAAACUAUCUUUCUUGAGUGCAGGA